UACGAAGGGGGGCUAGCGUUGUUCGGAUUUACUGGGCGUAAAGCGCGUGUAGGCGGGUCGUUAAGUUGGGGGUGAAAUCCCGAGGCUCAACCUCGGAACUGCCUUCAAAACUGGCGACCUGGAGCAAAGAAGAGGCGAGUGGAAUUGCGAGUGUAGAGGUGAAAUUCGUAGAUAUUCGCAGGAACACCAGUGGCGAAGGCGACUCGCUGGUCUUUUUGCUGACGCUGAGACGCGAAAAGCGUGGGGGAGCAAACAGG
rnacentral:rRNA from 1 species